rnacentral:lncRNA from 1 species
GAGAGAAAUGUUUAGCAAUAUGGCCUUAGGGGACUCGGGGUAUACCGGAUAUGUCCGAGGGACAUUGAUAGAAAUCAAUGAGGAUAUCCUAUCUAGCUUAUUACAAAUCCCUAAAUAUGGUGAGGCUCCGACCUCACAUCCCCAAAGGAAGAUUGUCCUAACCUACUUUUAGGAAGAGAGGACUGCGGCCCUCUUGACAUAGUUAACUCCCAAGACCUCAAUGCCGAAA